rfam:Bacillus solimangrovi strain GH2-4 NODE_6_length_140233_cov_1.76336_ID_2534, whole genome shotgun sequence.
CCGUUGCUGCAACCGCACGGAUCAGGUAUUAAGCAAUUAUGAAUUGCACCUGUAAUGGCGAGUCUGAGUCUAAGA